rnacentral:rRNA from 1 species
AUGCGUGAUCAGGUCGGCAUCGACCUGGACGGCUUCCCCCUCGACCACGAGUUCCCGGACGACUAUGGGCUAGAGGAAGAGGACAAGUGCGACAUCGAAGUGGAGCCUUUGUUCGAGGACGAGCUCGCCAACCAAACCGCCGGUCCCAAGCCGAAGCGCAAGAGCAAGCGCACGAAGGCGUACACAGCUGCCGAGGACAAGCUUCUUUGCGAGUGUUGGCGAGACAUUGGACCAAACCCAAAGACGGGCGUCGAGCAAAAGCAUUCAACCUUUUGGACUCGUGUGCACCGCGAGUUUCAUGAGCGUAAGAAAUUUCCACCCUACCAAUUUGUGAGCACGCGCGGGUGGGUCUCUAUUUCCAAGCGGUGGAGGGUGAUCCAACAAGAGUGCAACAAGUUUUGUGCCACCCUUGAGAGUCAAGGCCCGCCCCGUGAGCGGCAUUGGUGUGCAAGACAUGGUAUGAUAGCAAGCAAGUCGGCCUCUUUUGUGCCAUUAAGAUCAUUCUUUUAUGUCUUCAUUUGCUAUCACUCGCCCAUAUGCUUGCAUGGAAACAUUUUGUAG